UGUGGCAGCCAUUUUAAAACACAGGCCAACUAUAUAAACACAGCAGUUUGCUGCUGGCAGCUAGGCAGAGAUAUUGCUUGGUUGAACUGUUGUAUGAAACAUCUGGCAGGUUAAAGAAAAACAAAGAAAUUCACUCGAGGAAGACUGAAGUCUCUGAUCUGAGUUAAUCAGAGAACUGAAGCCAGGCAUCAUCUCCAUUGCUGCCAUACAGAGCACUGCUGCAAGUCAUGGCGGGCGAGUUCAAGGAGUCUAUCCGGUCCAACGUGAGAAAUGACAGCUUGCUUUGGAGGACGUGGCUAAUCUUCUACACACACCCAGUGCUGUUGCAAGGGAGGGUGGGGGUGAAUGGAAAAAAUGCCCCAGGCGCCAAAACGAAGGGGCGCCAACAGGUGCUACCCAGCUGGGGCAGGGUGCAGGACAGAGCCAAAAGAGACUCAUUUGGGGGGUGCAGGGAUGGGGGGAAGGGCAGCUCCCUCUGAUGCAUGCGCUCAUGGGCAAACAUGGGGGGGUGCCCCCUGGAUCCAUGCAUGGGGCAAGGGCACCCUGCCACUGUGGGCUUUGCCUCGGGCGCCAAACUUUGUUGCUACAGCAAUGACCACACCACAUUGCUUUUAGCUGUGGGGAACCAAUCAACUGAUCAGCUCCCAACAUGCCAGCACCUAAAGUUGCUAUGCAGCCCAGUGCCACGCAUGUCACUCAUUCAAAAUGUGUAACAACUUCAUUGUUCCUUUGCCAUUUUGUCACAGCAUAAAUUGGUUGAAUGUGUGUCAUUGUUAAAAUUUAUUAUGCAGUUUACACAUUACUUGCCUGAUAAAUGUAAUGUCUGCCGGCAUCCUUAAUGAGUUACAAAACUAAGUUUUAUUUUCACAAUGAAAGUAGACCACUGGUGCUCAACCUUUUUGUGCCACAGGUCAGAUGGGGUCCCAUGCACCAGGAUCAGGGCCCUCCACUGCGCCCCCUCUUCCCUGCUACCUCCAGCCAGUGGCUGUGUGCCCAGAUUAGGCCCCAGCCAUCUCCGUGCACCAGUGUAGCAUGCUAUGUGACCUGCAUGGCUCUCCAGCGAUCCAGAAAUUCAGCAGCAGGGGAGGAGCAAUUACUCCCACUGUUCUCCCACCUCUGAUUACUUUUAACUGUGGGAACCCCUGC